GGCCUCGGCUUAGUUGAAUAGAGCGUUGGCUGUACUAAAACCUUCUUGCUGGCGUGGGUUCGAAUCCCACCGAGGCUG
rnacentral:tRNA from 1 species